UACAGGGGGUGCAACCGUUGCUCGGAAUUAUUGGGCGUAAAGCGCGCGUAGGCGGCUACCUAAGUCGGAUGUGAAAGCCUCUGGCUUAACUGGGGAAGUGCACCCGAAACUGAGUAGCUAGAGUGCGAAAGAGGGUCGCGGAAUUCCCGGUGUAGAGGUGAAAUUCGUAGAUAUCGGGAGGAACACCGGUGGCGAAGGCGGCGACCUGGGUCGACACUGACGCUGAGGCGCGAAAGCGUGGGGAGCAAACAGG
rnacentral:rRNA from 1 species